rnacentral:rRNA from 1 species
GACGAACGCUGGCGGCGUGCUUAACACAUGCAAGUCGAGCGGAAAGGCCCUUUCGGGGGUACUCGAGCGGCGAACGGGUGAGUAACACGUGAGUAAUCUGCCCUGGACUCUGGGAUAGCCACCGGAAACGGUGAUUAAUACCGGAUAUGACACCUUGCUGCAUGGUGGGGUGUGGAAAGUUUUUUCGGUCCAGGAUGUGCUCGCGGCCUAUCAGCUUGUUGGUGAGGUAAUGGCUCACCAAGGCUUUGACGGGUAGCCGGCCUGAGAGGGUGACCGGUCACACUGGGACUGAGACACUGCCCAGACUCCUACGGGAGGCAGCAGUGGGGAAUAUUGGACAAUGGGCGGAAGCCUGAUCCAGCAACGCCGCGUGAGGGAUGACGGCCUUCGGGUUGUAAACCUCUUUCAGUACCGACGAAGCGAAAGUGACGGUAGGUACAGAAGAAGGACCGGCCAACUACGUGCCAGCCGCCGCCGUAAGAC